UCGCCGCCCGCGAGUCGGCGAGAAGUCCAUUGAACCUUAUCAUUUAGAGGAAGGAGAAGUCGUAACAAGGUUUCCGUAGGUGAACCUGCGGAAGGAUCAUUG
rnacentral:rRNA from 1 species